GGAUGGAUGGCCGAGUGGUUGAAGGCGCACGCCUGGAAAGCGUGUAUAGGGUCUAAAGCUCUAUCGAGGGUUCGAAUCCCUCUCCAUCCG
rnacentral:tRNA from 1 species